AGUAAGAUUCUUGGUGCCAAGAUAUCUGAAGUAAAACUUUAAAGACAAUUGUACUGGCUCUCCUUCUUAAUUACCUCCAGCCAGGGGCUAUUAUAGACUAAGUUCAGAAUGAUGCUGACCAGAUCCAGGAUCCAAACAAAUGUUGCCUGAGAAUUUUAAGGAACACCAGGUAGCACUGCUGGUUAAAGUGCAGUCAUGCUGGUCCCUAGCAUAUACAUUU